GACGAACGCUGGCGGCGUGCUUAACACAUGCAAGUCGAACGAAGAGCGAUGGAAGCUUGCUUCUAUCAAUCUUAGUGGCGAACGGGUGAGUAACGCGUAAUCAACCUGCCCUUCAGAGGGGGACAACAGUUGGAAACGACUGCUAAUACCGCAUACGAUCUAAUCUCGGCAUCGAGGAAAGAUGAAAGGUGGCCUCUAUUUAUAAGCCAUCACUGAAGGAGGGGAUUGCGUCUGAUUAGCUAGUUGGAGGGGUAACGGCCCACCAAGGCGAUGAUCAGUAGCCGGUCUGAGAGGAUGAACGGCCACAUUGGGACUGAGACACGGCCCAGACUCCUACGGGAGGCAGCAGUGGGGAAUCUUCCGCAAUGGACGAAAGUCUGACGGAGCAACGCCGCGUGAGUGAUGACGGCCUUCGGGUUGUAAAGCUCUGUUAAUCGGGACGAAAGGCCUUCUUGCGAACAGUUAGAAGGAUUGACGGUACCGGAAUAGAAAGCCACGGCUAACUACGUG
rnacentral:rRNA from 1 species